rnacentral:lncRNA from 1 species
AGGUGCUCCCACCAGGCAUGCGCGGUCAGAAUCCUGCCCUGGGACUUUCUACCCAGCAGGUGGCGAGGAGGAGCCCGGUGCAGUGAUGUGGAUGGACUGGGUCAGACACUGCGCAUGCUCAGUGGCGGUUGCAUCAAUGGUGGCGCAGCUCAUGAUGGCGCCGGGUUCUACUGGCUGUAACCUGUAGUUUGGGCGAGGGAAUAUUCUUUCCUUUACAACCUGCCAUCUUCCACGUGAUCUGAAUCUCCUCUGACUAAGAAAACUAUUUAUACAAAAUGUUUUCUCGAUCCAAAUGCAGUUUGGAUAUUUACUGCUCAUCUGCAUCACAGCGUCUUUAUUUGAACAUCUGGUUUUCUGCUGCGAGCCUCCCUGUGGCUGGAUAGAAGCCACUUUGAAACCUGGAAGCAAUGCCUGAGGUUCUCUAAUUACCUAUUUUCCCCUCAAAUAGAAAUAAAAUUGACUGUAAGAAAAUUUGGCAAUGAUUCAUUUUGUGGACUGCUCUGAUAAUUUAUUGUAGCCCAAUUUCAUCAGUCCUAUUGAACUUGUAUCAAAGAAAGUUUCAAUGAUUUAAAGAGAAAUCUAUCACACAACAAACUGGCUUCAUUUCAGAUUCAUUGCUGUUAGGUAGAAUCUUCAUCACAGAUGGUAGGAUCCAGCAUCAUCUGGCCCUGAG